rnacentral:rRNA from 1 species
UGUGUGCCCAAGCAUUGAGGCAGUCAAAGUAGGCAAAUCCGCUUUGAUAAUGCUGGGAUGUGAUGGGGAGCGAAAUUUAGUAGCGAAGUAGCUGAUUUCACACUGUCAAGAAAAGUCUCUAUCGAGGGUAAAGGUACCCGUACCGCAAACCGACACAGGUGGGUGAGGAGAGUAUCCUAAGGCCAGCGAGAGAACUGUUGUUAAGGAACUCGGCAAAAUGACCCCGUAACUUAGGGAUAAGGGGUGCCACCAUCAGGUGGCCGCAGAGAAUAGGCCCAAGCGACUGUUUACCAAAAAC